UACGUAGGGUCCGAGCGUUGUCCGGAAUUAUUGGGCGUAAAGGGCUCGUAGGCGGUUUGUCGCGUCGGGAGUGAAAACUCAGGGCUCAACCCUGAGCGUGCUUCCGAUACGGGCAGACUAGAGGUAUUCAGGGGAGAACGGAAUUCCUGGUGUAGCGGUGGAAUGCGCAGAUAUCAGGAGGAACACCGGUGGCGAAGGCGGUUCUCUGGGCCUGUACUGACGCUGAGGAGCGAAAGCGUGGGGAGCGAACAGG
rnacentral:rRNA from 1 species